ensembl:lncRNA
UCACUGCCCACCUCACCUCGGGAUCUCAGAGACCACUGAACCUGGUCGCAGACACUCCGUCUGUCUCCAGUCAAUGGAGACGCGAAGCGGAACGAACGCUGGGCCUACGCACGCUUAGAGAUACGAGUCUGCGACCAAUCAGAAAGGAUCGUCCGAUUGCCUAACCAAUCAUUGUGCUGCUGCUCUGCCUGACAGCCUACGUCACGAACAGUCGCCUUAACAACCGCCCACACCUCUCACCCUGGCGGAGAACCGGUACCGCACCAUCUCUCACCACAGCUCAGCCAACCAAUAGCCAGCCGAGUACCGGCGCCAGGGCCCGCCUAUUGGCCCGCGAGCCGCGGGGGCGCACGCGUGGAAGCGGUUUAGGCUCGGUGAUAGGGGAGAACGAGUGGAGUGGCCCGCCGCUCGGGACCUGACCUGCGGUCUUCCCGCCUCUGAGGGGACUCUGAGGGGGCGGUGGUAGGAAGCGGGACUGGACCUCGAGAACGAACCCCGGCUUAGGCUGAGGACAGAAAGCUGUUAUCUUAGGGGCGACAGAUGAGGGAAGUAGAGAUGGUCCUGCAAAAUGAGGAACACGAGCAGGGUGGUGUCGGCCGGGUGCCUCGCGACAGAGGCCUCACUCACCCUGCAGUGCAGGCGCCCGGGUCGCCAUCCGUGUCUCCCCGGCGCUUGCCGCUGCGUCCUCUCUGCGGUCCCUCCGCUCUCCGACCGGUGCAGGCUAGUGUCAUCUCACCUUUCCUGCCUGUCCCCCCACGUGCCCUCAGGAGUCGCUCCGGUCUGCUGGGCUCGCUCCAUCCCACAACCCUAGGUUCUCAACUCUUAAUUCGGUGAAGAAAACUGAAGUCGACUAGCCAAAGAUUGCAAACUCAUCAGAAGCAAAGUAAAAGAAGGAAAGAAAAGGAAGUAGAGAAGGAAAAAGGAAAGAGUAUUUCCCCAUACCUCUCCUUAGGAGCUUCUGCAGCUUCACAGAAACAGUUGGAGAGCAGAAAUGAAAAUAAUGCAAGCUGUGUGUGGUGGCGCACACCUAUAAUCCCAGCACUUGGGAGGUUGAGGCAGGAGGAUGGCCAUGAGUUUGAGACCAGCCUGGACUACACAAUGAGACCCUGUCUCAGAAGAAAAUAAAGGAAGAAAAGAAAUGAAAAUUAUGGGAAUGAAGGGGUCAUCUCAUGUACAGAUAAGAAUUCAGGAUGAAGAGGUGAUGCGCCAGGAAGCAAUGUUAAAGGGAGACUUCUCUCAGGGACUUCUGGGAAGAUGGCAGAAUGGUAAGCAGUCACAAAGCAGCCUCUCCAAGAUUCAGAAUGCAGACACUGGAAAACCUUAGAAAGAAAAGAAGAAGAGAGGUGGAUCUCCGGGACCCAGGAAGAAUCUGGAGGGAAAAUUGGAGCCUGCAGAGAAAUUGAAGAAACUGACCACAAUGCAGAAAAAGGAAGGGGAAAUCUGCACUCUCUCCCAGCUCUUGGCUCAUGAGAAGGGAAGAUUGACUCUACAGAGACAUAGUGGAAGUGGGGAACUCCAGAGGCCUUCAGGAAGAAAUGCACUAGUGGAACAGAGCAGUGGAUGCUGUGUGCUACAACAGUUGGUCAAGGAAUAUGUCACAAGCUGUCUGUCAACUUCAUUCUUACAUACAGGUUAAGUAUCCCUAAUCAGAAAAUUUAAAAUCUGAAAUACUCCAAAACCCGUAACUUUCAACAUGAUACCAC